UACGUAGGGUGCGAGCGUUGUCCGGAAUUAUUGGGCGUAAAGAGCUUGUAGGCGGUUUGUCGCGUCUGCUGUGAAAUCUCAAGGCUCAACCUUGAGCUUGCAGUGGGUACGGGCAGACUAGAGUGUGGUAGGGGAGACUGGAAGUUCCUGGUGUAGCGGUGAAAUGCGCAGAUAUCAGGAGGAACACCGAUGGCGAAGGCAGGUCUCUGGGC
rnacentral:rRNA from 1 species